rfam:Trachymyrmex cornetzi contig49125, whole genome shotgun sequence.
GCCUCAGUGGUCUAAUGGCUUAUAGGACGCUCGUACGGAAUACAAGAGAUCCGGGUUCAAGUCCCGGCCGAGGUA